GGGCGGGGACCCCUCCGGGGCGGGGCCGGGGGUGGGAGUGGGGGGGCCUGGGGUGGGGGGGGCGGGGAGACCCCCCCGGACCACCGCUUUGGCCCCGCUGCUGCUCGUCAUCGCCCCCCCCGGCACUGACUGGGUGAAGCUCUUCAAGGGUAAAUCUGUCCAUGGGGAUGUGGAGCUGCGAGUGGAGCAGGCCCAGUUCUCGGAGCUCUCCUUGGCCGCCUCCACCCACGGAGCCCUGAGUGUCACCAUCGACUCCCCCCGGGGGGGCACCAGGUGGGAUUUGGGGGAUCCCCCCCCCCAGUCAGGGGCUGAAAUUGGGGUACUGGGGCUA